rnacentral:lncRNA from 1 species
GGGAGAAAGGGAUGAGGAUGUUGGAUAAGCAGCUCAGCAUGUUCCCCAACAUGUAAGGGAAUCAGGUCGAGUUCUACACUCUCCUUCUUGGUACACAUCCUCAGAAUGCAGGAAGUGCCUGUGCUUGCUGUGAGUCUUUGUGGACAGAGGCAGGAUCAUGCUGGCUAGAAUCUAGUGGACAAGGGCAGCACAUUCCCCCUGUUCCCAGGUGGGUCCAGAGAUGUCGCCUGGGAGCCAGGGCCUGGAGUUCUGUUACUGUGGCUGAGCUUGCACCCAAGCUACAAGAUGACAUCCUACUCUUCCCUCACCUUUCUACAAGUAGAGGAGUCUCUUCUCAUGGCCACCAUUGUCCCAGGAUGUGAGGUCUGGAACAGCUGCAGCCAUUUUGCCACCAUGGGAAACCUGGGACAUCUGAACUGACUCCAUGAAGCCUGAAGAGAAAGCUAAUAAGAAGGCAGAGAGAAGAGGAAGAGUCUUGGUCUUUGGAAAUAUCUUUUGGAGCUGCUGGAUCAAGUAUCACUUGAAGGUGUCUCUUCUCACGUGGAAUCACAGCAUUGGAUGGACUGAAAAGAGGAAGAGGCUGCAAUGGAGCAGCACACCUGGUGCGUGGGGAUGCCUGGAAAACAAAAUUAGGAGAGCCCUGGGUCAGCAUUGCUCUGGCACUGGCUGGGCCGGGGGCCAUCCUGAUUCUAGAAUUAUCUUGGUUCCUGGGAUAGAAAUGUCCCCAGAGUGGAGAAGUUCAGUUCAAUCCAACAUCCUUAUAUUGCAAUGAGGAUAAAGACCACAGACCCUAUGGCCUGUAUGACCCAGCUGCCCAUUUCUAGGAACCCAUUCCUACAGAAAUGACAACAUGCGUGUGCAAACAGCAACAAUGACAAACAUACCCUGGGAUGCUUUCCCUCUGUGGUUUGUUAUAGUAAGAUAGCGGCUACAGCUUAUAUAUCAUCAACAGAGGACUGGCUAAAUGAUGGCACUUCAUUCUGCAGAAUCUUUUUUUGUAGUCAAAAAGAACAAGUUAGAUCUAUAUGUGUGAACAUGGAAAGGUGUACAUGACUUAAGUAGAAAAAUUAAGUUGCAGAACGA